UACGUAGGGUGCAAGCGUUAAUCGGAAUUACUGGGCGUAAAGCGCACGUAGGCGGCUUUGUAAGUUAGAGGUGAAAGCCUGGAGCUCAACUCCAGAAUUGCCUUUAAGACUGCAUCGCUUGAAUCCAGGAGAGGUGAGUGGAAUUCCGAGUGUAGAGGUGAAAUUCGUAGAUAUUGGGAAGAACACCGGUGGCGAAGGCGGCGACCUGGUCCGAUACUGACGCUGAGGCGCGAAAGCGUGGGGAGCAAACAGG
rnacentral:rRNA from 1 species